rnacentral:rRNA from 1 species
UACAGAGGUGUCAAACGUUGUCCGGAAUUACUGGGCGUAAAGGGCGCGUAGGCGGCCUUAUAAGUCAGAUGUGAAAGCUCUGGGCUCAACCCAGGAAUUGCAUCUGAUACUGUGAGGCUUGAGUUCGGUAGAGGAGGGCGGAAUUCCAGGUGUAGCGGUGAAAUGCGUAGAUAUCUGGAGGAACACCCGUGGCGAAGGCGGCUCUCUGGUCCGAAACUGACGCUGAGGUGCGAAAGCUAGGGUAGCAAACAGG